GACGAACGCUGGCGGCGUGCCUAAUACAUGCAAGUCGAACGCAGUGGGGACGGGUGAGUAACACGUGGGUAACCUCCCAUCAGAGGGGAUAACACUUGGAAACAGGUGCUAAACCGAUACUGAUGGAUGGACCCGGGGGGCAUUAGUUAGUGGGUGGGGUAACGGCCUACCAAGGCCACGAUGCAUAGCAGGUCUGAGAGGGGGACCGGCCACACUGGAACUGAGACACGGCCCAGACUCCUACGGGAGGCAGCAGUAGGGAAUAUUGGGCAAUGGGCGAAAGUCUGACCGAGCCAUGCCGCGUGAGUGAAGAAGGCUUUCGGAUCGUAAAGCUCUGUCGUUAGAGAAGCGGUACCUAACCAGAAAGCAACGGCUAACUACGUGCCAGCAGCCGCGGUAAUAC
rnacentral:rRNA from 1 species